AUGUUCUACUCGCACCAGCUCCUCGCGCGGAAGGCGCCGCUCGGCCAGAUAUGGUGCGUCCCCUCCCCCUCCCCCUCCCCUCCCUCCCCGCCGGCCGCCGCCGCUCCCGUCCCCUCGGUCGCGGCCGCCGGCCACCGAUUCCGCCUGUCCCGCGUUUCUCCGCUCGGUCCGGGGCGUUUCCGGGCGCCCCCGUUCGGUCCGCUCCCAAUGCGGCGGGCUCCCCGUCGCCUCGCCUCGAUCUGCUCUGACGCUCCUCUGCUCCUCUGCCCCCGCCGCAGGAUGGCCGCCACGCUCCACGCCAAGAUCAACCGCAAGCGCCUCGUCAAGCUCGACAUCAUCAAAAUCUGCGAGGAGAUCCUGAACCCGUCGGUGCCCAUGGCGCUCAGGCUCUCCGGGAUCCUCAUGGGCGGCGUGGUGAUCGUGUACGAGAGGAAGGUGAAGCUUCUCUACGAUGAUGUGUCCCGUCUCCUGAUUGAGAUCAACGAGGCAUGGAAGAUCAGGCCGGCCGUCGACCACACCGUCCUCCCCAAGGGCAAGGCUCAAGCCAAGUAUGAAGCAGUAACACUGCCAGAGAACGCGGUGGAUAUGGAGGUGGAGCAGCCCGUGUUUUUCACAGAUACUUAUACUACUAGGUUCCGGGGAAUGCGCCUGGAGGAUUUGGAUGAACAAUAUGUCAAUGUCAACCUGGAUGAUGAUGACAUCUCUCGCGCCGACCGUCAUCAUCAAGCUGAGGCAGUCAACAUUACCCUGGUCGAUAAUUUUGAGUCUGGUCUUGCUGAAACUGACAUCUUCAAUCGUUUUGAGAGAUUUGACAUAGCAGAUGAUGACACCACAGUCCAUAUUACUCUCGAUGGACACCCAGAGGCUCCAAGUACACUAGUUCCCUCUCCACCAAGGCCAGAAGACCCUCCUCAACAACAGGAACAGUGUGCUGCCCCAUCCCCCAUCCGCGAAGAACCUCAACAAGGGGAUUCAUUAAAGGAGCAAGAGGAGCAGAAGACGACGGAGCAACAACCAACUAAACGAGCAAAGAGGAAAGCACGCGGCAAGGGCCCCCAAGUGAUCAUAGAUAACCAGAUAAUGAUCCCAGGAAAUGUAUAUCAGUCAUGGUUGAAGGACCCAUCAAGCCUCACCUCUAAAAGGCGUCAAGUCAGGAGUAAAAUCAAUCCUAUUAAGGCAAUUAAGAUAGGCGAGCUCAUGGACUUGCCACCGUCUGCCCUAAUGUCUUUCUCCAAUGACUCACAAGAGAUAUAUUACCCUCAGCAGCUUAUGCAGCUCUGGAAGGAAUGCACCAAAGUCAAGACCCCAAAGCCCUCAUCUUCUUCAGGAGAUAAAUCAUCAUCAUCAUCACAAGAAAAGCAGCCGAGAAACCCUUCGCCUCAGCCUCAAGGAGAUCAGAAUGAAAUGGGAGCUCAGCCAAUGGACUUCACACCAAUGGACUUCACAGAUGGCAUUGAAAAGAUGAGAGCAAACAAGAGUGGAGAAUUUGAAGGUGUUUUUGAUGGUCCGCAUGGUGACCCUAGUGUUACACCUGGAAGUCCUGGGCUAAGUCGCAGGUCAGCUUCAAGCUCUGGUGGCUCUGGAAGGGGGGCAUUUCUGCCAUUGGAUCCAGAAAUACAGUUACAAUCUGGAAGUGGAAGGGCCAAGAGGAGGCAGCUUUCAUCUGGACGAAGCUUGGGGAACCUUGAUCCAGUUGAAGAGGAAUUCCCAAUGGAGCAAGAAGAGAGGGAAUUCAAGCUGAGAAGGCUUUCAGAUAUGGAACCAACUCCUGAUCUUAUGGUAGAAACAGAACCCACUCAAACCCCGUUCAUGAAGCAAUCCAGUCCUCCCGAUCACAUCACUGAAUCAAUUCACUCGUACCUAAAGCUCCACUUCGAGAGCCCGGAUGCCCCGCCAUCUGAAUCGCUAAGCCAGCUAACUUAUGGGAUGAACACAGCACAGGCUGCCCGCCUAUUCUAUCAAACAUGUGUCUUGGCAACGCUCGAUCGCAUCAAGGUCACACAGGUGGAACCAUACGGACCCAUCCUGAUCUCGAGGGGGGCCAACAUGUGA
rnacentral:rRNA from 1 species